AACGAACGCUGGCGGCAGGCUUAACACAUGCAAGUCGAACGCCCCGCAAGGGGAGUGGCAGACGGGUGAGUAACGCGUGGGAACAUACCCUUUUCUACGGAAUAGCUCUGGGAAACUGGAAUUAAUACCGUAUACGCCCUACGGGGGAAAGAUUUAUCGGGGAAGGAUUGGCCCGCGUUGGAUUAGCUAGUUGGUGGGGUAAAGGCCUACCAAGGCGACGAUCCAUAGCUGGUCUGAGAGGAUGAUCAGCCACAUUGGGACUGAGACACGGCCCAAACUCCUACGGGAGGCAGCAGUGGGGAAUAUUGGACAAUGGGCGCAAGCCUGAUCCAGCCAUGCCGCGGGAGUGAUGAAGGCCUUAGGGUUGUAAAGCUCUUUCACCGAUGAAGAUAAUGACGGUAGUCGGAGAAGAAGCCCCGGCUAACUUCGU
rnacentral:rRNA from 1 species